rnacentral:rRNA from 1 species
GACGAACGCUGCGGCGUGCCUAAUACAUGCAAGUCGAGCGAAGUUUUUCUGGUGCUUGCACUAGAAAAACUUAGCGGCGAACGGGUGAGUAACACGUAAAGAACCUGCCUCAUAGACUGGGACAACUAUUGGAAACGAUAGCUAAUACCGGGUAACAGUAUUUCUCGCAUGAGAGAUAUUUAAAAGUUGGUUAUGCUAACACUAUGAGAUGGCUUUGCGGUGCAUUAGCUAGUUGGUGGGGUAAAGGCCCACCAAGGCGACGAUGCAUAGCCGACCUGAGAGGGUGAUCGGCCACACUGGGACUGAGACACGGCCCAGACUCCUACGGGAGGCAGCAGUAGGGAAUCUUCCGCAAUGGGCGAAAGCCUGACGGAGCAACGCCGCGUGAGUGAAGAAGGAUUUCGGUUCGUAAAGCUCUGUUGCUAGGGAAGAAUGGAUAUGUAGUAACUAUACAUAUAAGAGACGGUACCUAACCAGAAAGCCACGGCUA